rnacentral:rRNA from 1 species
AAGUCGUAACAAGGUUUCCGUAGGUGAACCUGCGGAAGGAUCAUUAAUGAAUUUUGAACUUGGGUUUACGAUGCUGGCCUUCCGAGGCAACUGUGCUCAACCCUUGCUCAUUUCAAUUCGUUCAACCCCUGUGCACCUUUCAGUGGCUUCAAUCUUUAAGGGGCUUUUUUUUUUUGGACCUUGUAGUCGGAUAACAACGACUUGAGGAAAAAGGAAUAGUCCUUGAUUGGCCAUGAUCUUUUUACAUACACUAUAAAAGUUUAGAAUGUUCAACUUGCGAUUAAACGCAUUUUAAUAUAACUUUCAACAACGGAUCUCUUGGCUCUCGCAUCGAUGAAGAACGCAGCGAAAUGCGAUAAGUAAUGUGAAUUGCAGAAUUCAGUGAAUCAUCGAAUCUUUGAACGCACCUUGCGCUCCUUGGUAUUCCGAGGAGCAUGCCUGUUUGAGUGUCAUGAAUCUCUCAAACCUUUAGUUUUGUUAACUCAAAACUUGAAGGCUUUGGACUUGGGGGCUUGCUGGCGAUUUUAUUAUUGUCGGCUCCUCUCUAAAUGCAUUAGCUGGAUCUUUCAACACAAGUAAUCCUCGGUGUGAUAAUUAUCUACGCCGUGUUUUGUAUACUUUGUUGCGUGUGCUACCCCUUAUGCUUAGCAUUGGGUGUUUGUAGUCGCGGGCUUGAUUCAUUUCAGCCAAAGUCAUCAAGCUUAUAAUCGUCUCUGCAAAAUGAGACAAUUCAUUUUUUGACAUCUGACCUCAAAUCAGGUAGGACUACCCGCUGAACUUAA